rnacentral:rRNA from 1 species
AUUGAACGCUGGCGGCAGGCCUAACACAUGCAAGUCGAACGAGUGGCGGACGGGUGAGUAAUGUCUGGGAAACUGCCUGAUGGAGGGGGAUAACUACUGGAAACGGUAGCUAAUACCGCAUACCAUCAGAUGUGCCCAGAUGGGAUUAGCUGGUUGGUGGGGUAAAGGCUCACCAAGGCGACGAUCCCUAGCUGGUCUGAGAGGAUGACCAGCCACACUGUAACUGAGACACGGUCCAGACUCGUAAGGGAGGGAGUAGUGGGGAACAUUGCACAAUGGGCGCAAGCCUUAUGCAGCCAUGCCGCGUGUAUGAAGAAGGCCUUCGGGUUGGAAAGUACUUUCAGCGGGGAGGCGUUACCCGCAGAAGAAGCACCGGCUAACUCCGGGCAAGCAGCCGCGGUAAUAC